rnacentral:rRNA from 1 species
AGCAGCCGCGGUAAUUCCAGCUCCAAUAGCGUAUAUUAAAGUUGUUGCAGUUAAAAAGCUCGUAGUUGAAUUUCGAGAUCAAAUUGUUGGUCGUGCCUCGGUACGUACUGGCAUUAUUGAUUUCUCCUUUCUGAAGAACCUUGAUGUCAUUAAUUUGGUGUCUUGGGGAAUCAGGACCGUUACUUUGAAAAAUUAGAGUGUUUAAAGCAGGCUCACGCUUGAAUACAUUAGCAUGGAAUAAUGAAAUAGGACGUUCGAUUCUAUUUUGUUGGUUUCUAGGAUCGACGUAAUGAUUAAUAGGGAUAGUUGGGGGCAUUAGUAUUCAAUUGUCAGAGGUGAAAUUCUUGGAUUUAUUGAAGACUAACUACUGCGAAAGCAUUUGCCAAGGAUGUUUUCAUUAAUCAAGAACGAAAGUUAGGGGACCGAAGACGAUCAGAUACCGUCGUAGUC